GAUGAACGCUAGCGGCAGGCUUAAUACAUGCAAGUUGAGGGGCAGCAUGAUAUACGCGAGUAUAUUGAUGGCGACCGGCGGACGGGUGAGUAAUAGGUAGGAGACCUACCUCAUACAGGGGGAUAGCAUAGAGAAAUCUGUGGUAAUACCCCAUGAGGUUAUAUGAAUAGAGGCAUAUAAUCAAAGCAUAAGCGAUUAUGCGGUAUGAGAGGGGCCUACUGACCAUUAGCUAGUUGGUGAGGUAAGGGCUCACCAAGGCGAAGAUGGUUAGGGGUUUUGAGAGAGAGACCCCCCACAUUGGAACUGAGAGACGGUCCAGACUCCUACGGGAGGCAGCAGUAGGGAAUAUUGGGCAAUGGGCGAAAGCCUGACCCAGCCAUGCCGCGUGAAGGAAGACGGCCUUAUGGGUUGUAAACUUCUUUACUACGCGAAUAGAGGUUAGUACGAGAUACUAAUAGGAAGGUAGUGUAGUAAAAGACCGGCUAACUCCGUG
rnacentral:rRNA from 1 species